rnacentral:rRNA from 1 species
AGGACGAACGCUGGCGGCGUGCUUAACACAUGCAAGUCGAACGGGAUCCAUCGUGUGGCAACACACGUGAAGAUCUAGUGGCGAACGGGUGAGUAACACGUGAGAAACCUGUCCCGGUCUCUGGAAUAACAGUGGGAAACCACUGCUAAUACCGGAUGCCUUCACAGCGUCGCAUGGCGCAGUGAAGAAAGGCUUGCCGGAUUGGGAGGGUCUCGCGGCCUAUCAGCUAGUUGGUGGGGUAACGGCCUACCAAGGCGUCGACGGGUAGCUGGUCUGAGAGGACGAUCAGCCACACUGGGACUGAGACACGGCCCAGACUCCUACGGGAGGCAGCAGUGGGGAAUCUUGCGCAAUGGGCGAAAGCCUGACGCAGCAACGCCGCGUGCGGGAUGAAGGCCUUCGGGUCGUAAACCGCUUUCAGCAGGAACGAUGAUGACGGUACCUGCAGAAGAAGGUCCGGCCAACUACGUGCCAGCAGCCGCGGUAACACGUAGGGACCAAGCGUUGUCCGGAUUUAUUGGGCGUAAAGAGCUCGUAGGCGGUUCAGUCAGUCGGGUGUGAAAUCUCCGGGCUCAACCCGGAGGGGCCACCCGAUACUGCUGGACUAGAGUUCGGUAGGGGAGCGGGGAAUUCCUGGUGUAGCGGUGAAAUGCGCAGAUAUCAGGAGGAACACCGGUGGCGAAGGCGCCGCUCUGGGCCGACACUGACGCUGAGGAGCGAAAGCGUGGGUAGCAAACAGGAUUAGAUACCCUGGUAGUCCACGCCGUAAACGUUGGGCACUAGGUGUGGGUCCCUACCAACGGGAUCCGUGCCGUAGCUAACGCACUAAGUGCCCCGCCUGGGGAGUACGGCCGCAAGUUUAAAAC